rnacentral:tRNA from 1 species
GCGAGCGCGGGGCCGACAGAGCAUCUGACUACGGAUCAGAAGGUUAGGGGUUCGAGUCCCUUCGGGCGCA